AAGAGUACGUGAAACCGUUCAGGGGUAAACCUGAGAAACCCAAAAGAUCGAAUGAGGAGAUUCAUCGUCAAUAUAUUUAAUAUAUAUAUAAGUUAUGAUGUAAAUUAUUUUUCUCUUUAUGGGUAUAUAUAAUAUAUACAUACUUGUAUUAUUUUAUUGUUAAAUAUUGUCGACGUGCACUUCUCCUCUAGUAGGACGUUGCGACCCGUUGGGUGUCGGUCUAUGGCCUUAUUAAGUAGCCUUUAAUUCCUUAAAAAAAUUAAAGAUUAAUUUGUGUUUCCUGACCGACUGCCCGGCGGUAUUCAUAUGAUAAUGAGUCGCAUUUUAUUAUGCGUUCAUACCCAUCGCAAGCGAGGCCAGUUUAUUAUCCUGGUAGUUACGGACUUAGUGCCGUCGCUGGGCCUGGCCAGCUGUUAGCUGUAUGGUGUUCUAGAACUGACUCAAAUAUAAUAUUAUCGGUCGGCAAUGCUACUGCUUUGGGUACUUUCAGGACCCGUCUUGAAACA
rnacentral:rRNA from 1 species